rnacentral:rRNA from 1 species
AGAGUUUGAUCCUGGCUCAGGACGAACGCUGGCGGCGUGCUUAACACAUGCAAGUCGAACGCUCGUAGCAAUACGGGAGUGGCAGACGGGUGAGUAACGCGUGGGAACAUACCCUCCGGUUCGGAAUAGCUCAGGGAAACUUGGAUUAAUACCGGAUACGGCUGAGAGGCGAAAGAUUUAUCGCCGGAGGAUUGGCCCGCGUUCGAUUAGCUUGUUGGUGAGGUGACGGCUCACCAAGGCGAUGAUCGAUAGCUGGUCUGAGAGGAUGAUCAGCCACAUUGGGACUGAGACACGGCCCAAACUCCUACGGGAGGCAGCAGUGGGGAAUAUUGGACAAUGGGCGCAAGCCUGAUCCAGCCAUGCCGCGUGAGUGAUGACGGCCUUAGGGUUGUAAAGCUCUUUCGCUCGGGACGAUAAUGACGGUACCGAGAUAAGA